GGUCAGAGCACGGAGGUUUUGAAGCAGAGAGACUUUGGAGUUCUGUUUUGAGUCGGGGGAACGUUCGCAAAGAGUUUUUGGAAGAUUAGCUAAGGAGAAAACCAUGGCGAGGAUGUUCGUGUGGAGGCAGCUUUGGAAGGAGGUGACCAAUUAAUAAUUGGAAAUUUGGGGAUUCUCGUGCAGGUCGUUUUACACAUUUCAGUUUCCUCAAGGGACAUUUUGGUAUAUGCAAUAUCAAACAAACUACUAGGCUAGUUAUGGCCGAUCGUUCAACUUACAUUUCUAGAGAGAUUCUUUCAACAGUUCCUGAUCCUGGUGCUAUGGCUGAAGCGACUUGGUUCAGAGUUGCGACCUUAGCUGUGAAGGAAAAACAUGAGAGCUAAGCCUCGACAUACAUAACUCUUCUUACAAUCUCCUUCUGUUUGUGCAGAUAUAGCCAAGUUUUGUUAUGAAUUUUGUACUCUUGUAACCAACCAUUUAGGCUUUCCGCUUAUGUCUGUGCCUUUUUUCGCAUAAAACUGAGAGAGUCAUUGUCAGUCAGUCACUCAACUUUAUACACGCCAAAUUUUAAAGUGGAUGUAAAUUUUACACUUUCUCAUUAUACAAU
rnacentral:sRNA from 1 species